AUAGCGUAUAUUAAAGUUGUUGCAGUUAAAAAGCUCGUAGUUGAACUUCAGACCUGGCUGGAUGGUCUGCCUAACGGUAUGUACUGUCUGGCUGGGCCUUACCUCUUGGUGAGCCGGCAUGCCCUUCACUGGGUGUGUUGGGGAACCAGGACUUUUACCUUGAGAAAAUUAGAGUGUUCAAAGCAGGCUCACGCCCGAAUACAUUAGCAUGGAAUAAUAAAAUAGGACGUGCGGUUCUAUUUUGUUGGUUUCUAGAGUCGCCGUAAUGAUUAAUAGGGAUAGUUGGGGGCAUUAGUAUUCAGUUGCUAGAGGUGAAAUUCUUGGAUUUACUGAAGACUAACUACUG
rnacentral:rRNA from 1 species